AUUGAACGCUGGCGGCAGGCCUAACACAUGCAAGUCGAGCGGAGCGGCGGACGGGUGAGUAAUGCCUAGGAAUCUGCCCGUGAGUGGGGGAUAACGUUCGGAAACGGGCGCACAUACCGCAUCCUCUCAGAUGAGGAUCGGUCGGAUUAGCUAGUUGGUGGGGUAAAGGCCUACCAAGGCGACGAUCCGUAACUGGUCUGAGAGGAUGAUCAGUCACACUGGAACUGAGACACGGUCCAGACUCCUACGAGAGGAAGCAGUGGGGAAUAUUGGACAAUGGGCGAAAGCCUGAUCCAGCCAUGCCGCGUGUGUGAAGAAGGUCUUCGGAUUGUAAAGCACUUUCGGUUGAGAGGCGUUACCAACAGAAUAAGCACCGGCUAACUUCGUGCCAGCAGCCGCGGUAAUUC
rnacentral:rRNA from 1 species